rnacentral:rRNA from 1 species
UAUGGAGGAGGCAAGCGUUAUCCGGAAUUAUUGGGCGUAAAGCGUCCGUAGGUGGCUAGUCAAGUCUGCGGUCAAAGACUGGGGCUUAACCCUGGAAAGGCCGUGGAAACUGACGAGCUAGAGUGCAGUAGGGGUAGAGGGAAUUCCCGGUGUAGCGGUGAAAUGCGUAGAGCUCGGGAAGAACAUCGGUGGCGAAAGCGCUCUACUGGACUGCAACUGACACUCAGGGACGAAAGCUAGGGGAGCGAAUGGG